rnacentral:ncRNA from 1 species
AUGGUAGAGGUGCGGGGCAGAUGAGUAACCGGAAGUGCGGCAGGCAGCCGCCCGGCAAAAGGCUGUUCCGCCGAAGGGCUUGUGUGGCUGCCUGUAUGCACCCGCCCUGGGGCGCGCCAGAAUAUGGCGCGCACUGUCACGUUUGAAGUGGAGCGCUAUCC